rnacentral:rRNA from 1 species
UACGAAGGGAGCUAGCGUUGUUCGGAAUCACUGGGCGUAAAGCGCACGUAGGCGGAUUGCUAAGUCAGGGGUGAAAUCCUGGAGCUCAACUCCAGAACUGCCUUUGAUACUGGCGACCUUGAGUCCGGAGAGGUGAGUGGAACUGCGAGUGUAGAGGUGAAAUUCGUAGAUAUUCGCAAGAACACCAGGUGGCGAAGGCGGCUCACUGGCCCGGUAUGACGCUGAGGUGCGAAAGCGUGGGGAGCAAACAGGGAUUAAGAAACCCGUGA